rnacentral:pre_miRNA from 1 species
UCUUAUGGAUGAGCAAAGAAAGUGAUUUCUUGAGAUGGAAUCUGCUGGUGAAGAUGCUGUGAA